rnacentral:rRNA from 1 species
UACGGAGGGUGCAAGCGUUAAUCGGAAUUACUGGGCGUAAAGCGUGCGUAGGCGGUUCGUUAAGUCUGUUGUGAAAGCCCCGGGCUCAACCUGGGAAUGGCAAUGGAUACUGGCGAGCUAGAGUGUGUCAGAGGAUGGUGGAAUUCCCGGUGUAGCGGUGAAAUGCGUAGAGAUCGGGAGGAACAUCGGUGGCGAAGGCGGCCAUCUGGGACAACACUGACGCUGAGGCACGAAAGCGUGGGGAGCAAACAGG